AGCAACGGGAAUGAAAUUUUUUAUAUAUCCCGUGUACUCCGAACAACUCAAAAAAGUUCGGAGUACAGAAAUAUAUUUAUAUGGUAUAUAAAUACUUAAAUUAGAAGUUCUUUAUGCUAUUGAAUUAAUUGAAGAAAGUAGAAGAUAGAUUUUAUAAUUUUAGUUUGAAAAUUAGACUUUUUAAAAAUUUCUGGCUAAACCUGUGCCAGCCGCCGCGGUUAUACAGGUAGGAAAGUAUUUUUAUUUAAAUAAAAAUUUUUAUUAAUAGUUAAAAAUUUUUAAUUAGGUGAAAUUAUUAAUUUAUUUGGAGAUGUAGAGUUUUUGAAAUUUAUAUACAAAAAUAGGAUUAGAUACCCUAUUAUUAUGAAAUGUUAUUUUAGUAUUAAUUUAAGAUUUAUUAAAUUAAAAGAUUUUGGCGGUAUUCUAAGCUUUUUAGAGGAAUUUAUUUUUUAAUUGAUAUAGCUCAAAAAUCUUUCUUAAUUUUGUUAGGUCAGUUUGUAUAUCGCUAUCAUUUUAUAAUGUUGUUUAACAAUUGUAAAAAAAAAUUUUUUUUAGAAUGUUAGGUCAAAAUGCAGCAUAAAAUUAAGUUAUAAAUAAAUUACGUUAAUUUGUAUUAGAAAAUUUAUGAAAAGGGUUAAUUUAGGAUUUAAUAGUAAAUUUAGAUUAUAAUGUUUGAUUGAAAUAAGCUCUGGAAUAUGCACAUAUCGCCCGUCGCUUUCAUUUAUGAGAUAAGUCGUAACAAAGUAAAAGUAUCGGAAGAUGUUUUU
rnacentral:rRNA from 1 species